AUAUCAAAUAAGCGGAGGAAAAAGAAACCAACAGGGAUUGCCUCAGUAACGGCGAGUGAAGCGGCAAAAGCUCAAAUUUGAAAAUCUGGCUUCUUUGGAGCCCGAGUUUGUAAUUUUGUAGAGGACGUUUCGGGUACCGCAACGGCUUAAAUUUCUUGGAACAGAAUGUCAGAGAGGGUGAGAGUCCCGUCUGGAGCCGCGGUAGGGCCCAUGUGAAAACUCCCUCGACGAGUCGAGUUGUUUUGGGAAUGCAGCUCAAAAAUGGGUGGUAAAUUUCAUCUAAAGCUAAAUAUUGGCCAGAGACCGAUAGCGCACAAGUAGAGUGAUCGAAAGAUGAAAAGAACUUUGAAAAGAGAGUUAAACAGUAC
rnacentral:rRNA from 1 species